AGUGAACGCUGGCGGCGUGCUUAACACAUGCAAGUCGAACGAGAACGGAUUAUAGCUUGCUAUAAUUGUCAGCUAAGUGGCGCACGGGUGAAUAAUGUAUAGGUAAUAUGCCUCUUACUAAGGGAUAACAAAUGGAAACGUUUGCUAAUACCUUAUACUCCUUAUUAACAGAAGUUAAUAAGGGAAAGAUUUAUUGGUAAGAGAUUAGCCUGUAUUGUAUCAGUUAGUUGGUGGGGUAAUGGCUUACCAAGACUAUGACACAUAACUGGUUUGAGAGGAUGAUCAGUCACACUGGAACUGAGACACGGUCCAGACUCCUACGGGAGACAGCAGUGGGGAAUAUUGCGCAAUGGACGAAAGUCUGAUGCAGCAACGCCGCGUGGAGGAUGACACAUUUCGGUGCGUAAACUCCUUUUAUAUGAGAAGAUAAUGACGGUAUUAUAUGAAUAAGCACCGGCUAACUCCGUGCCAGCCGCCGCCGUAA
rnacentral:rRNA from 1 species